GAUGAACGCUGGCGGCGUGCCUAAUACAUGCAAGUCGAGCGAACAGAUAAGGAGCUUGCUCCUUUUACGUUAGCGGCGGACGGGUGAGUAACACGUGGGUAACCUACCUAUAAGACUGGGAUAACUUCGGGAAACCGGAGCUAAUACCGGAUAACAUUUGGAACCGCAUGGUUCUAAAGUGAAAGAUGGUUUUGCUAUCACUUAUAGAUGGACCCGCGCCGUAUUAGCUAGUUGGUAAGGUAACGGCUUACCAAGGCGACGAUACGUAGCCGACCUGAGAGGGGGAUCGGCCACACGGGAACUGAGACACGGUCCAGACUCCUACGGGAGGCAGCAGUAGGGAAUCUGCCGCAAUGGGCGAAAGCCUGACGGAGCAACGCCGAGUGAGUGAUGAAGGGGUUCGGCUCGUAAAACUCUGUUAUUAGGGAAGAACAAACGUGUAAGUAACUGUGCACGUCUUGACGGUACCUAAUCAGAAAGCCACGGCUAACUACGUG
rnacentral:rRNA from 1 species